AAAUAUUUCUGAUGCAAUGUGCCUGGGUUGGGUAAGGACCAAGCUCCGUAAGUGAUUUAUGUGUAACAGUAUGUUUGAGAACCUGGUAAAUAAUAAAGGCAGAAAGAGUCAGGUUAUCAAGGCAUCCCAAGAGCAAAUAAAAGACAUCUGAUUUGAUAUUGGCAUUUAGGACAAGCUUUGCAGCAAUGCUUGCAAGGAAUAGGACAAAGAUAAUACAAAGCCAAUUAAUGUGACACACAGGUUAGAACGGAUGCGAAGACCUGAACACCGAGGGACACAUGAGGCAUCCUUAGCUGAAGUACACAAAAGCUCCUGCACACAUCACCAAGAAGUUUUUAGCUUCUUAGCAGUGAGUGCCAAGAGAAAAUUUUAUUCAGAGAAAUGACACUACCAUUUCACCUGCACAAUAGAGUGGAGGACGGAAUGCAAAAAACAAGACUUAGUAAGAAGACUAAUGAGGCAGCAAAUCAAGCAUAUGAUGAUAAAGGCAUGAAGAACAGUGGUGACAAUACGGAUGGAACAGUGAGGUUGGUUGUAGAAAUAUUUUAGUUAGAACUCACAUAGGAUAUUUGAUUGGGUAUGGAGAAUGAGGAAUAGGCAGAAACGGAAGAGGAUUCCCACAUAUCCAAAACGGGUGAUUCAGCAAACACUUCCAUUCUGGAAGACAAGCACCUAAGGAAAAGAGAGAUGAAAAAGUGUAUAUGCAUCAAGACUCUUGAUUGCAAAUGAAAGAAAAUAACUCAUUUGGCUUAGGGAAAAAAAUGACUUUUCUUGCUGCAUGGAAUCUAAGAAAGGAUUAAACCAACAAUAGGGUAGUGAACUGUGAGAGCUAUGGUGCUGUCUUCCUAGAAUAUAUUUUGAUAUCCAUUCUAAUAAGACUUUUAUGUUUUGAUUAAAGCUAUGUCUGACCUACCCACGCACAUAGAAAUAGCAUAGGAACUGGAUCUGGCCAAUCAUAGCACCCAUGCUUUUGGCCAGAGUGAUUAGCUCAGAGGUGGUCCUAAGACCUGAGCUAAGCCAAUCAAUCAGGGGACCUCAGGAGACUUUUCAUUAACACUAACAGAGAUUUUCUCCCUAGAGCUUUUGUCUUUGGGGUCACAGUUUAGGAUAGAUGAAAGACUGGAGCAGCUUACAACUGUCUUCCUCAGCAGCCUAGAAAAAGCCUACUGGCGGGGGUUUAACUGAGACCAAGUCAAAAGCUGAGGCAAGCAGAGAUGCAAGAUGGAUAAAAAGAGAUCUGGCAGUUCUGAAGUGUCAGUUCCAGAAAUAAAUAGAGGCCUGGUUAAUGCAGUUAUUUCAUUGAUCAUAUUAGCUACUGUAAGCUCCUUCCCAACCAUAUAAGAAAAUAAAUUCCUUUUUUCUCCCCUAAGCUAGUUAGCAAUGGGACUCUGUAAUACAAAAUAUACUAUUCUCCGUUAAUACCUCCAAAAGGCCAGAGAUACAACUGGGCCUCAGGGAAACUAGAUUCAGGGACUGAAAUAUCACUAGUCCUCCCCCCUUUCAUCAAUGCCUCUCUCUGGAUAUUGGUUUCAUUCUCUCUCACUACAGACUACUUUUACAGAGUUGGAAAUGUGGCCACAACAGCUCCCUAGUUUCACUUUUCAUAGGUUCCAUCCCUAUUUUUGAACUUGGUUCUAUCUCUAUUUUUAAACUAGGUUUUUAUCUCUAUUUUUGCACUUGGACGCACAGAGAGUAAAUGGCAGUUUUACUCUCUGCCUUUUACUCUCUGUGCGUCCAAGUUCAAAAAUUCUAAGAAAGGAUUCUAAUUGACCCACCUAGUGUCAUAUAAUAAUAGAUCAGUUCAUUGUAACUAGGGUUUUUAAAGACUAUGAUUGGCUUAGUUUAGGCCAGGUUGACAUCCCUGAACCAACCAAAUGAGGCCAGCGGGGCAGACUCACGUAAGAAAAUAGCAACGCUCAAGGAAGCUCAAGGAGGAGACAGAGGAGUAAUUCUGAAAAGAAUUGCAGUACUAGUUCUAGAAGAAGCAGAAACAUAGCUGUCAGUGUCCCUUCCUGGAAAGAUGUUUUAGACAUUGUUGAAGUUGAGGCCCAAUUCAGGGCCAAAAGAAAGCCAAGGAAAUGUGGCCAGUUAAAAUUAUCAGUCAAGUCUACAGAGGACAAUUUAUGGAUAUAAUUGAUUCUGACGAAACAGAUCACCCCAGACUAUAAACUGCAAAUGUAAACUAUAAACUAUAUAUAAUUUUACCCUAAGAUUACUCAAAACUCCAGUUUUCAAAACAAUCAUGUGGUUAUGUGCUAUAGUAGAGUGACAUUGUGAGGUAAGAGAAGAGAAAGUGUUGGGAAUCACAAAGGCAGGACCUUAGGAACAAAAUAUCCUAAUUUCGAUCUCCCUCGUAUUGGGCAUGAGACAAGGUCAUGGACUGGCAGAAUCUCAGGACUCCAAGAUUUUUGGUCUGAACAACUGGAAUAAGGUUGCCACUGGCUAAGAAAGGGAAGAUUACAAGAAGGGCAGAGUGGGGGAUUGUUUGCAAGAGAUGAGGCACAGAAGAGAGAAGCAGCUUUCCUGAAAGACUUAGCAUGAACAGAGUGCUCUAAGACCCAGAAGAUAUCAUAGUGAGAAGAGGCAUCCCCUGAGGUCCAUAUAGAACCAUUCAAUGCUCUGCUCCCUUGGUGAGCAACAGCUAUGAGAACAUGGCUAGGGUGCCACCUGCUCAUCAGUCACAGCAAGAGGAGGUCUUUCUCAGACGACUUGGAUGGUAGUGAUUGUUAGCCUGGGGAAGCUAACACAAGAAAGGAAGAAUACGAAGAUGUCACACUGGGAGUGUGAGCACUUGGGAGGCUCCCUUUGGAGAUUGCCAGACAUAAUUGCAAGACUCUUGGAUGCUGAGGUCUUGUCAACAUACUGUGGGAGGCAUUGUAAUUUGGUCAUUAAAAAUAAAAGAGGCUUAAUCUUA